GGGAUGCAGUCUGGGACACGUAGUUGCAAACCUAGCGACUUUGUUGUUAGAUUCAAUGACUUUUCAGACCCCCUAACGACUUUUUUUUAGAAAGAAAGGGACUUUUAUCGACUUCUUCUGGAGUUUAGAGACUCUGACAUGAAGCAGGCUUUCCUUACUGAGGAGUUAGCAACGCUGCUAAGGGUGCAGAGCCACACAUGCGCUCAGAGCUCUGCAUGGGAGACUGAAGCUGACAGAGCUGCAGCAGUUAGCAGGUUUCACCCUCAGAGACCACCAGGGGUUCAUGUUGAGGCAUUUUAAUUUUUUUUUUUUUUUUUGUGCCAUAGACACUGUCAGCACAAUCUGCAGUUACACUAACAAAAAUGCUGCAAAAAACAAAGAAUUAUGGAAAAAUUACACAUGGACUGACAUAGAGGAGGAUCUACACAAGUUUUUUACAUCAUGUUUUACAUCAUGCAUCAUUUACAUCAUGCUUUUUUGUAGUGGCAUAAAUAAAAAGUGACAUUUGUGAGACUAUACAGUGUUUUGUAAAUAAUUUUACAAAGAACGCCUGGGCCAUUGCCUGCAUUUUGAUAUAAAUAGAGGUAAAUCACUAUGUUCUUUGUUAAAAAUUUGCAUAUGUUUUGAAGUUUACAAUUUUUAUUUGAAGUUUAAGUUUUAAAAACAGUUCAUCACACAUAUUUGUGGUUUUCACAGUAAAAAUGUUACUUUUUUCCACUCGGAUUUUAUGUUUUGUGUGUGAAUUUGGGUCCAUUGUGUAAAUUCAGUAUGUCAACAUGAUAAAAUAACUGUAAAUUCGCACAGGUGAGGUUGUGCUGAAAAAAAUGAUACCAGGCAAGGCACGUGAUUGUCAAAUUUUGUGUCAAUAUGACGAAGCGUAUAGGCGUGAAUCUCAACAAUAUGUAUUUUCACCUUAGGGGACAAGAAAAAAAUGGACUUUUUUCUCCUGCCAUGGGGGGGCGCUCUUUUGGGGAGUAAAAAUUCCUUCACAAAUGUGUUGAUGGCUGGACAUUGCAUCAUCCUAGAAAACUUGGAGGCCAGUGAGGACAAAAAUAAAAAGUUAUAAGACUUUUAAAUAUGUGGAUUUUAGGGUUAUCUUUGGCGCCCCCUAGAACCUAAACCGUGGGGUGCAGCGUCAUGAUUUGAAUAACUUUUAAUGGCCAUGGGGUGUAGAUUGGCCUGAGCAAAUGUGGUGCCGGUGGAACGAAAGCCUUAGGAGGAGUUAGCCACAUUCCAAUGUGUGCAGAUCGGCAAAAAAUGCGGAAUAACCCUUUAACCGUACAUUUGACAGAUACGCGCGCGUUGACUUUUUCGAAGAUCUUAUUGAAAUACACGUGUAUGUAAAAUUUUGUGUCAAUACGACAAAACAUACAGGCGUAGCACUCAACAAUGUGAAUUUUCACCUUAGUGGACAAGAAAAAAUGGACUUUUUUCUCCUGCCAUGGGGGGGCGCUCUUUUGGCGAGUAAAAAUUCCUUCACAAAUGUGUUGAUGGCUGGACAUUGCAUCAUCCUAGAAAACUUGGAGGCCAGUGGGGACAAAAAUAAAAAGUUAUAAGACUUUUAAAUAUGUGGAUUUUACGGUUAUCUUUGGCGCCCCCUAGAACCUAAACCGUGGGGUGCAGCGUCAUGAUUUGAAUAACUUUUAAUGGCCAUGGGGUGUAGAUUGGCCUGAGCAAAUGUGGUGCCGGUGGAACGAAAGCCUUCGGAGGAGUUAGCGAAAUUCCAAUGUGUGCGGAUCGGCAAAAAAUGCGAAAUAACCCUUUAACCGUACAUUUGACAGAUACGCCCGCACUGACUUUUUUGUAGAUCUUAUUGAGAUACAUGUGUGUGUCAAUUUUUGUGUCAUUUUGACAAAGCGUACAGGCGUGACAGUCAAUAGUGUGAAUUUUCACCUUAGGGGGCGCUAUGGAGCCAUUUUGCAUUUUCUUGUUUGGGCGACUUCGGAAUAUCGAAUUUUUCACCAGGCCCGGUCGUCCUGCCAAAUUUCAUGAGUUUUCGCCAGUGGGAAGUGGGCCAUUUUCCAGUUCAAAGGGGAGGAAAAAUAAUAACUAGGGCCCCGUUGGGGCACUGGCGGGCCCGAGCCGUGUCACGCCGCCCCCAGCGCGACCGCCUCCCCCACCCGAUCGCGUCACACUCAAGGUCCAAAGAUGGUGUGCGCACUUGUUUGUGGUCAUUUACCAUUAUAAUGAACGGGAGGCGCAGUUUCUACCAAAACGCUCGCUGCAGAAAAACUCCAUGUCCUAUUUGAAAAAAGUCUGGACCAUGAGUGAGGGCACAAACACAGCUAAGAUAUAUCCAAAUGGCAAGUUGCUCCUCCUUUCGCUUUUGCCGAGAGAGCAGUGCGUUUGAGCCAUUGAACGAUGAACAGGAAAAACUUGACUUUAUUCUCCUGCCAUGGGGGGGCGCUCUUUUAAAGAGAAAAAACUCCUUCACAAAUGUGUUGAUGGCUGGACAUUGCAUCAUCCUAGAAAACAUGGAGGCCAGUGAGGACAAAAAUAAAAAGUUAUAAGACUUUUAAAUAUGUGGAUUUUAGGGUUAUAUUUGGCGCCCCCUAGAACCUAAACCGUGGGGUGCAGCGUCAUGAUUUGAAUAACUUUUAAUGGCCAUGGGGUGUAGAUUGGCCUGAGCAAAUGUGGUGCCGGUGGAACGAAAGCCUUCGGAGGAAUUAGCGAAAUUCCAAUGUGUGCGAAUCUGCAAAAAAUGCGAAAUAACCCUUUAACCGUACAUUUUACAGAUACGUGGCCAUUGACUUUUUCGAAGAUCUUAUGUAAAUACACGUGUAUGUAAAAUUUUGUGUCAAUUCGACAAAACAUACAGGCGUAGCACUCAACAAUGUGUAUUUUCACCUUAGUGGACAAGAAAAAAUUGACUUUUUUCUCCUGCCAUGGGGGGGCGCUCUUUUGGGGAGUAAAAAUUCCUUCACAAAUGUGUUGAUGGCUGGACAUUGCAUCAUCCUAGAAAACUUGGAGGCCAGUGAGGGCAAAAAUAAAAAGUUAUAAGACUUUUAAAUAUGUGGAUCUUAGGGUUAUCUUUGGCGCCCCCUAGAACCUAAACCGUGGGGUGCAGCGUCAUGAUUUGAAUAACUUUUAAUGGCCAUGGGGUGUAGAUUGGCCUGAGCAAAUGUGGUGCCGGUGGAACGAAAGCCUUCGGAGGAGUUAGCGAAAUUCCAAUGUGUGCGGAUCGGCAAAAAAUGCGAAAUAACCCUUUAACCGUACAUUUGACAGAUACGCCCGCACUGACUUUUUUGUAGAUCUUAUUGAGAUACAUGUGUGUGUCAAUUUUUGUGUCAAUAUGACAUGAGAAGGGAGGGAGGGACUCUCAGCAGGGAUGCAGUCUGGGACACGUAGUUGCAAACCUAGCGACUUUGUUGUUAGAUUCAAUUACUUUUCAGACCCCCUAACGACUUUUUUUUAGAAAGAAAGGGACUUUUAUCGACUUCUUCUGGAGUUUAGAGACUCUGACAUGAAGCAGGCUUUCCUUACUGAGGAGUUAGCAACGCUGCUAAGGGUGCAGAGCCACACAUGCGCUCCGAGCUCUGCAUGGGAGACUGAAGCUGACAGAGCUGCAGCAGUUAGCAGGUUUCACCCUCAGAGACCACCAGGGGUUCAUGUUGAGGCAUUUUCAGUUUUUGUUUUUUUUGCCAUAGACUGUCAGCACAAUCUGCAGUUACACUAACAAAAAUGCUGCAAAAAACAAAGAAUUAUGGAAAAAUUACACAUGGACUGACAUAGAGGAGGAUCUACACAAGUUUUUUACAUCAUGUUUUACAUCAUGCAUCAUUUACAUCAUGUUUUUUUGUAGUGGCAUAAAUAAAAAGUGACAUUUGUGAGACUAUACAGUGUUUUGUAAAUAAUUUUACAAAGAACGCCUGGGCCAUUGCCUGCAUUUUGAUGUAAAUAGAGGUAAAUUACUAUGUUCUUUGUUAAAAAUUUGCAUAUGUUUUGAAGUUUACAAUUUUUAUUUGAAGUUUAAGUUUUAAAAACAGUUCAUCACACAUAUUUGUGUUUUAAUUUCACAUUAAUUUCCAUAUUGUAUAAAUGACUGGAAAAAACUUGAGCCCCUGCCCCUGUAUAAUCAUGUGCACGUCCCUGUUCUAGCUCCAAGGUGAAUCUUCACUGCUCAUGUUCUCCUCAGAAAUAGUCACCUCACUCCCCUCAGGUUACUGUACACAUGCACCAACUAUCUGCUUCAGGUUUGGAUGGAGCUUCAUGGUUGUCUUUUGGAGAAAUGAACAGUCAAGUUGUGUUUGAAAUCUGAUUUUUUUCAGGGGCAAAAGGAAGCCUCUGCAUUCUUGUCAAAUAUGUAAACAGCAUGUUUUUGCAGGUGCUAAAAAACAGACUCUGAGUGUGUGUGUGUGUGUGUGUGUGUGUGUGUGUGUGUAUAUGUGUGUGUAUCCUGCAGUACUCUGUACUCCUGCAGUGGCCAAAAAGACUUUUAAGAAUGUGGAUUUUUGGGUCAUCUUUGGCGCCCCCUAGAACUGCAGUACUCUGUACUCCUGCAGUGGCCAAAAUGACUUUUAAGAAUGUGGAUUUUUGGGUCAUCUUUGGUGCCCCCUAAAACAUAAACCGUGGGGUGCAGCGUCAUGAUUUUUACAACUUUGAAUGGCCAUGGGGUGUAGAUUGCCCUGAGCAAAUUUGGUAUCGGUGGGACGAAAGCCUUAGGAGGAGAUAGCCACAUUCCAAUGUGUGCGAAUCGGCAAAAAAUGCGAAAUAGCCCUUUAACCGUACAUUAUACAGAUACGCGCUUUUUGACUUUUUCGUAGAUCUAAUUGAGAUACACGUGAUUGUCAAUUUUUGUGUCAAUAUGACAAAGCGUUCAGGCAUGACACUCAACAAUGUGUAUUUUCAUGUAAGGGGACAAGAAAAAAUUGACUUUUUUCUC
rnacentral:lncRNA from 1 species